GAUGAACGCUAGCUACAGGCUUAACACAUGCAAGUCGAGGGACCGGCGCACGGGUGAGUAACACGUAUCCAACCUGCCCUUUACUCGGGGAUAGCCUUUCGAAAGAAAGAUUCAUAACCGAUAUAAAGGAUGGGGAUGAGUUACAUUAUGUUGUUGGUGAGGUAACGGCUCACCAAGCCUUCGAUGGAUAGGGGUUCUGAGAGGAAUGUCCCCCACAUUGGAACUUAGACACGUUCCAAACUCCUACGGGAGGCAGCAGUGAGGAAUAGUGGUCAAUGGUCGCUAGCCUGAACCAGCCAAGUAGCGUGAAGGAUGAAGGCUUAUGGGUCGUAAACUUCUUUUAUAUAAGAAUAUGUAUUAUAUGAAUAAGGAUCGGCUAACUCCGUGCCAGCAGCCGCGGUAAUUG
rnacentral:rRNA from 1 species